UGCCAGCCGCCGCGGUAAUACGGAGGGUGCAAGCGUUGUUCGGAAUUAUUGGGCGUAAAGCGCGUGUAGGCGGUUCGUUAAGUCUGAUGUGAAAGCCCGGGGCUCAACCCCGGAAGUGCAUUGGAAACUGGCGAACUUGAGUACGGGAGAGGAAAGUGGAAUUCCGAGUGUAGGGGUGAAAUCCGUAGAUAUUCGGAGGAACACCAGUGGCGAAGGCGAGUCUCUGGACGAAUCCUGACACUGAGGCACGAAAGCUAGGGUAGCAAACAGGAUUAGAUA
rnacentral:rRNA from 1 species